rnacentral:rRNA from 1 species
UGCCUUGAAGAUCGGAGUGCUUGCACUCUGUGAAACAAGAUACAGGCUAGCGGCGGACGGGUGAGUAACACGUGGGUAACCUGCCCAAGAGAUCGGGAUAACACCUGGAAACAGAUGCUAACACCGGAUAACAACAGAUGAUGCCUAUCAACUGUUUAAAAGAUGGUUCUGCUAUCACUCUUGGAUGGACCUGCGGUGCAUUAGCUAGUUGGUAGGGUAACGGCCUACCAAGGCGAUGAUGCAUAGCCGAGUUGAGAGACUGAUCGGCCACAUUGGGACUGAGACACGGCCCAAACUCCUACGGGAGGCAGCAGUAGGGAAUCUUCCACAAUGGACGCAAGUCUGAUGGAGCAACGCCGCGUGAGUGAAGAAGGGUUUCGGCUCGUAAAGCUCUGUUGUUGGUGAAGAAGGACAGGGGUAGUAACUGACCUUUGUUUGACGGUAAU